rnacentral:tRNA from 1 species
GGUUCUAUGGUAUAAUGGUCACCAUUCUGGAUUUUGAAUCCAGUCAUCUGAGUUCACAAAUCUCAGAAGAGCCA